AAGUCGUAAGUCAGAAAAACAUAUACACAAAAGGUCAGGUAACAUAUUUAUGCUCCGUGAAAAAACUUAUAUUCCGCCAUACUAUGUUGAAGUUUUAUAGGAGUUUCAUCUUAUCAGAGCCUGUUUAAUUAGUACCAUAACAAGAAAGGUGUAGGUAAAAGGACAUGCCUGUUUGGAUAAAUGUAUAUUAAGUUUAUAUUUAAACUUCAUUUAAAUAACUAGUAAAUUUUAUGAUCCAUGCAUUUGCCAUAAGGAUGUGUCCGUAGUGGCCAAAGCUUCGCAAUUGCGCAGUAUAUAAUGGCGGAAGAAUACCCGAAGUUUCUUCUCAAUAGUGGUAUAUAAUAUAGCUACCACUGUAACCAGUAAACCAUUGUUAUCUAAUAAAGGGUCAAUAAAGUGUCUUGUGUGGACCACACAUUAGAUUCAGUGAUAGUUAUAAGGAAUUCUGUCAAGUACAUGCAUACGCCAAUUGGAGUCCCAUCAUCAGAAUACCCACACACACCAUAUUGCAUGAUGAUAUAUGUUCAUGCCCUGACAUUGUUAAAUAUAAUAGACACCAGUAGUGUCUAUAUAACAAAAUGAAUAUAUUUUAUGUGACCUAUUUUUUUAUCUUUGUAUGUUGCAUGAUAUUUUUGUUGUGUUCUGUUCCAAUGUGCCAUUUUAUAUUAUGGUCAAUGGUGUGUAACUGUGUGAUUUUAUCCAUUUAACCAAAUUACUACUCUUUGGGAAAUAAUAUAUACAUACUUCACUACAUUGUGAGAAUAUGAUCCAAAGUGUACAGCAGGAAAUCAUGGUUUCAUCAAUGUGGAUUCCCCUUUAUAUUUAGAAGCUAUGAGUAGUAGAACUGCUAUGAGAUUUCAGUGUUCUCAAUAUCAUUUUGUUAUAUUAGAUUGAUUUGACAACUUGAAACCAGAAGUCAUGGGUUUCUUUCUUGCACAGACGCAAAUGUUUAGGUGAUCCACCAAAAUAUUUUUUAGGUCUAAGUUUUAUGGGACUGAAAAUAUUAAUCUUAUAAUUAUAUCUAUAGAUGCUGAUAUAUGUCUCGAUGUAAAAUUCAUCACUAUACAUUUCUGUUAAUCAGUUUUAAGGGUGUUCUACAAUUUUUGUGUUAAAUAUUUCAUGUUUAGUUUAUAUUGUACUAUACAAAUCCUAUUAAGUUUAAUAUAAAACUUAUUUGAAAAAUU